CUUCUAGCAUUUGGAGCUUGCAUGGGGUGGUAACGACCUUGCAUGGAAUGGAACAUGAUGGUCUGCGAGGGGCAUGUAUACUGCGCAUAUCCAUGGACAUGAAUGGAUGACCCCGUGGAUUGGAACCACGGCACGGGAACCAGCGCCGUGGGCAUGGUGCCGCGCUGACCCAGAGCAGCGGGACCGGACGGGGCCGGCCGGUGCAGUACAGCUUUUGCUGGGCUAGGCUCGACUGAUAUUUGGGGCAAUGAGGGGGAUUCUGUUCUGCUCUUUUCUGUUCUGUUCCUUUUUUUUUCUUUUUUUGUCGAGAGUCAGUGCCAAGAAAUUUCAAAAUACGUUCUUAUCUGGAAGUAACGUAUGCUGUGGUUGUUCGGUGGAUACAUGUAUAUGCAGUUACCAGCAACUUAAAACAAACAAAUAAAUAAAGAGGA
rnacentral:sRNA from 2 species